AAUAAUUGAAUGUUCUUCAGUUCGUAUAAAUCUUUCGCCUUUUACUAAAGAUUUCCGUGGAGGGGAACGUUUAUGAAUGGGCUUGACAUUAUUUCCACUGAGAGAGGCUGGUACCUGUUU